rnacentral:lncRNA from 1 species
UAAAUUUCUUCUGUGUUUGGGAAUUCUCAGAAAUAGAAAAAUUAUUUACAUAGGAAAUCAUUUACUGAGGAAAAAAUUUAAAUUAAAAGUGAUAUCAUUGACAUUAGUGAAAUACUAUUGAAUAUUUUUAAUAGAAAUCCAUACUUGUUAUCAGAGGAGGAAGAUGAUGAUGUUGAUGGUGAUGUCAAUGUUGAGAAAAAUGAAACUGAGCUACCAAAAGGAAAAAAGAAAAAGCAAAAGAACAGACAGUUGCAGAAGCCUCAGAAAAACAAGCCAUUGCUUGUUGAUGUGGAUCUCAGUCUGUCUGCCUAUGCCAAUGCCAAAAAGUAUUACGAUCACAAGAGAUAUGCUGCUAAAAAAACACAGAAGACUGUUGAAGCUGCUGAGAAGGUAACUUAAUAGAAUGAUAUUCAUUGUUUGGGGACAGCAUUAAUUAUUUUUAUCAUUUUUAUUAUACCUUUUUACUUAUUUGGGGCGGGGUCUUUUUGAGAUGGGGUUUCCCUGUAACCACAGCUGAACUGGAACUCGCUUUGUAGACCGGGCUGGUCUCAAACUCUCAGAGAUCAGCCUGCCUCUGCCUCCAGAGUGCUGUGAUUAAAGGCCUGCACCACCAUGCCUGUCUACUUAUUCUGUACUUACUCUGUUUAAAUGAGGUUUUGAAAUCAGAAAUAGCUUUCAAAUUUAAUUUGGCUUUAAACAUGUGUAUUUCCAGAAUUUGUUUUUGUCCCUAAACCUGCACCUCCCUCCUGUCUACUUAUUCUGUACUUAUUCUGUUUAAAUGAGGUUUUGAAAUCAGAAAUAGUUUUCAAAUUUAAUUUGGCUUUAAACAUGUAUAUUUCCAGAAUUUGUUUUUGUCCCUAAACCUUCACCUCCCUCCUUUUUGGUUAUCUCAGCAAAUAGCACUUUCCUCUUGUUUCCUCAGAUGUUUGAGAUAUCCAGAACCCUUUUCUCAUUAACCAUACUCAAAUCUGUCAGGAAAUUCUUUUGAGAACUAGCAUUCUUUUGUUUUGUUCAGACCAGCUAGCUGGGGCUACAGG